rnacentral:tRNA from 1 species
UGCCGGUUCGUCUAGCGGUAGGACGCCAGGUUUUGAACCUGAGAAGCGUGGGUUCGAAUCCCCGACCGGCAACCA